rnacentral:lncRNA from 1 species
AGACCACUACACACACACACACACACACACACUCUCCCCACGCACAACACAGACCACUACACACAGCACAAUCACACUAACACUCUCCCCACACACAACACACACAACACACACACACACACACACACACUAACACUCUCCCCACGCACAACACAGACCACUACACACACACACACACACACUAACACUCUCACCACGCACAACACAGACCACUACACACACACACACACACUAACACUCUCACCACGCACAACACAGACCACUACACACAGCACAAUCAAACUAACACUAUCACCACAGACCACUACACACAGCACAAUCAAACUAACACUAUCACCACACACAACACACAAAACACAGACCACUACACACAGCACAAUCACACUAACACUCUCAACACAGACCACUACACACAGCACAAUCACACUAACACUCUCACCACACACAACACAGACCACUACACACAGCACAAUCACACUAACACUCUCACCACACACAACACAGACCACUACACACAGCACAAUCACACUAACACUCUCCCCACACACAACACAGACCACUACACACAGCACAAUCACACUAACACUCUCAACACAGACCACUACACACAGCACAAUCACACUAACACUCUCAACACACACAACACACACAACACAGACCACUACACACAGCACAAUCAAACUAACACUCUCAACACACACAACACAGACCACUACACACAGCACAAUCACACUAACACUCUCAACACACACAACACAGACCACUACACACACAGCACAAUCAAACUAACACUCUCACCACACACAACACAGACCACUACACACACAGCACAAUCAAACUAACACUCUCACCACACACAACACAGACCACUACACACACAGCACAAUCAAACUAACACUAUCUAACACAAUAGAUGACAUCCUUUUCACAUGCAUACUUACACCCCACAGCACACCUCACACUACCCCGAACAACAGUCAAAACCCGUUAUUAGAUCAAAUUA